rnacentral:rRNA from 1 species
GUUUGAUUAUGGCUCAGAUUGAACGCUGGCGGCAUGCUUUACACAUGCAAGCCGAACGGCAGCACGACGUGUAGCAAUACACGUUGGUGGCGAGUGGCGAACGGGUGAGUAAUACAUCGGAACGUGUCCUGUAGUGGGGGAUAACCAAUCGAAAGAUUGGCUAAUACCGCAUACGAUCUACGGAUGAAAGCGGGGGAUCGCAAGACCUCGCGCUAUAGGAGCGGCCGAUGUCCGAUUAGCUUGUUGGCGGGGUAACGGCCCACCAAGGCGACGAUCGGUAGCUGGUCUGAGAGGAUGAUCAGCCACACUGGAACUGAGACACGGUCCAGACUCCUACGGGAGGCAGCAGUGGGGAAUUUUGGACAAUGGGCGCAAGCCUGAUCCAGCCAUGCCGCGUGAGUGAAGAAGGCCUUCGGGUUGUAAAGCUCUUUCGACGGGGACGAAACGGUCUGUGCCAACACCACGGACUAACGACGGUACUCGCAGAAGAAGCACCGGCUAACUACGUGCCAGCAGCCGCGGUAAUACGUAGGGUGCAGGCGUUAAUCGGAAUUACUGGGCGUAAAGCGUGCGCAGGCGGCUCCUUAAGUCAGAUGUGAAAGCCCCGGGCUUAACCUGGGAACUGCGUUUGAUACUGGGGGGCUAGAAGUGUGGAAGAGGGGGGGUGCAAUUUCCGGUGCAUCAUUCGAAUGCGUAAAGAUCUGGAAGAACACCGAUGGCGAAGGCAGCCCCCUGGGCUAACACUGACGUUCAUGCACGAAAGCGUGGGGAGCAAACAGGAUUAGAUACCCUGGUAGUCCACGCCCUAAGCGAUGUCAACUGGUUGUCGGGGAAGUAAUUCCUUGGUAACGAAGCUAACGCGUGAAGUUGACCGCCUGGGGAGUACGGCCGCAAGGCUAAAACUCAAAGGAAUUGACGGGGACCCGCACAAGCGGUGGAUUAUGUGGAUUAAUUCGAUGCAACGCGAAAAACCUUACCUACCCUUGACAUGUGCGGAACGGGGUAGAGAUACCUCGGUGCCCGAAAGGGAACCGCAACACAGGUGCUGCAUGGCUGUCGUCAGCUCGUGUCGUGAGAUGUUGGGUUAAGUCCCGCAACGAGCGCAACCCUUGCCAUUAGUUGCUACAUUCAGUUGGGCACUCUUAUGGGACUGCCGGUGACAAACCGGAGGAAGGUGGGGAUGACGUCAAGUCCUCAUGGCCCUUAUGGGUAGGGCUUCACACGUAAUACAAUGGCCGGUACAGAGGGCUGCCAACCCGCGAGGGGGAGCAAAUCCCAGAAAGCCGGUCGUAGUCCGGAUUGUUCUCUGCAACUCGAGAGCAUGGAGACGGAAUCGCUAGUAAUCGCGGAUCAGCAUGUCGCGGUGAAUACGUUCCCGGGUCUUGUACACACCGCCCGUCACACCAUGGGAGUGGGUUUCACCAGAAGUAGUUAGCCUAACCGCAAGGAGGGCGACUACCACGGUGAGAUUCAUGACUGGGGUGAAGUCGUAACAAGGUAACC